GACGUAGGGCGCGAGCGUUGUCCGGAUUUAUUGGGCGUAAAGAGCGUGUAGGCGGCCAGGUAGGUCUGCUGUGAAAACUCGAGGCUCAACCUCGAGAUGUCGGCGGAAACCAUCUGGCUAGAGUCCGGAAGAGGAGAAUGGAAUUCCCGGUGUAGCGGUGAAAUGCGCAGAUAUCGGGAAGAACACCCGUGGCGAAGGCGGUUCUCUGGGACGGUACUGACGCUGAGACGCGAAAGCGUGGGGAGCGAACAGG
rnacentral:rRNA from 1 species